rnacentral:rRNA from 1 species
UACUAGAGUAGCACUCGCAUAUCAAUAAGCGGAGGAAAAGAAACUAACAAGGAUUCCCCUAGUAACGGCGAGUGAAGCGGGAAGAGCUCAAAUUUGAAAUCUUAAAGGGUUUCCCUUUACGAAUUGUAGUUUAAAGAAGUGUUUUCUGUUGAGGUUUUGGUAAAAGUUCUUUGGAAUAGGACAUCAUAGAGGGUGAGAAUCCCGUAUUUGACCUUUACUUUCAACUUUGUGAUACACUUUCAAAGAGUCGGAUUGUUUGGGAAUGCAGUCCAAAAUGGGUGGUAAAUUUCGAUCUAAAGCUAAAUAUUGGCGAGAGACCGAUAGCGAACAAGUACCGUGAGGGAAAGAUGAAAAGAACUUUGAAAAGAGAGUUAAACAGUACGUGAAAUUGUCAAAAGGGAAGCGUUUGACACCAGUGUUGUUUUUCUGAAAAUCAAUUAAAGAACUGUUUAUGCUAAGUUGUUUAGACUUUAUCAGCUAACUGUUUAGUUUUGAGCUUUUCUUUAAUGCACUUUUCAGUUAACAAGUCAACAUCAAUUUCUUUUGCUGUAAAAAAGCUUGAGGAAGGUGGCUUGAGAUUCGUCUUAAGUGUUUAUAGCCUCUUGCCUAUGCAGUCGGAGAGAUUGAGGUCUGCAGCGUAGAUCCUUCGGGGCUAAAUGCAUUUGUGCUAAGUUAUAGCAUUUUAUAGACAACUUGUUGACUAUGAUUUGUCUUGUAGCUUACUCGCUUAUGUUAUUUUACCUACGCUUAGGAUGUUGAACUACUGAGACAUAG